AACUGCACCUCAACCCCAAUGAGCAGCUCCGUGAGGCCCUCCACCCUCAAGUUUUUGUCAGUCCCAGUCUCCAGUCCAGGGCCUCAUAGAAGUUAAGUGUGCCACUGCUGUCCUGUCCUCCUAGGAAGACAGUAAGGGUAAGCGGCAGCAGGCUCAGGGCCAGGAACUCAAGGCUAGGGGCUAGGCGUAAGGGUUUAGGGUCUGGGACUAGGACCUGGCAUUCUGGCCAGGAGCCUGGACUCUGAGGUUACAAGACUGCAGCUGAGAGCCUGGGAGCUUAGAGGCUGAGGCCGCGGGGGUUGGAGAGCCUGGAGGUUGUCAGGAUUAGGUCGUAAGGGGAGGGGAGGAAGAAGCUGCAGGGCUGUGAGGCUGGGCGCCCCGGAGGGGACAGAAAAGUAGGGGUGCGGGGUGGAGGUACACGCUGAGAGGUGAGAGCCCUGCAGUAUCGGACAGGCUAGGAGCCCCGGAGCUGAGGCCGGCAGUCAGUCAGAUUGAGGGGCGGAUCGGGAACAGGGAAAACUAAGAAAAUGCAGUUUCAAAGGGUAGUGUGUGAAGGAGACCCGCCCUCUACAAGGCGGCGUGGACGCCCAAGGAGAUUGGGACCGGGCAGCUGCCGCGGCGUUGGUUCCCGAUGCGCCUACCUCCUUCCCGCCGGUCGCGCGCCGGCGCCCCCGCCCACCGCGCCAGCUGCAGGCCAGGUGACCACAAGGUGGAGCUACAACGCAACUCUGCGCAGCGUGCCUUGGCCACCCAGAAUAUCCCCUGUGACGGCUGCUCUCCCGCUUCCCCUCUUGCAGCAACCCCUCCAGCCCAAGAAUCUCUCCGUGAUGACCCCUCAAUGUCAUUAAUGUCACAACCGAGGAUGGAAUGUGCAUCCCCCACCAAGCCCCGGCGCGGAAAAGAUUAGACUAUGACAAAACAGGAGUUAAAUUCAUUGAAUAAGCAGAUUGACACCAUACAGGAACCAACCUGUCUUGAAGAAAAGGCUGUGCACAGCAAAAAGCCAGUUAUAGUCACAGAAUUAAAUGGCUAGAUGGGCUCUUUGGCCCUCAGCGUCUAGGCAGGAAAGCAGCUAAAUUGCAGAGGUCAGGGGAGACAGUGAAUGGAGUGGGGAUUGGUGACUCUAUCAUCUUAGUUCUCCAGCAAAGGCCAUUUUGUCAUCUCCUUCAGUCAUAGGUCCAAGCUAUCCCAUCCCUGACACACCUUGUGUCUUCUACUCGAGAACACGCACACACAGGUCUGAAACAUUAUCUUGGCAACCUCCUUUCCACUUCCUCUGUUAACAUUUGCAGAGAAACUUCCUAUGAGUCACUGUCUUCCUAACCUAACCUCAGGUCAAAACCCUAAGAGGAGCAGAUUCCAUGGAAGCUUGCAGCAUGCGCACCAUCUGUGCAGAGGGCCCUCAUGGUUCAAAACCUCCUGUUGACAAAGUUUACCCCACCCCAACCCCACCAACUUUCCAUCUCAGCUGCUCUCUCUUCCUUGCUGUUACCCAAUCCAGAGAGGCCUCAGACUCUGGUAGGUGGGGGUCCGGGGCUGGGCAUUCACUCCAUUAUGAAAUUGUUGAUCCUGGUCAGCAGCACUGCUGUUUCUAAGCCUAGAGCAGGGGGUGGGGAAGACAUAUAGGGAGUGACCAAAGAGAAGGCUAUAGGAGGAGAAAAAUGAGGUGAAGGGAGAAAGUUCUUACCAGUUUUCUCUCUCUCCUUCUUACAUCUCCUAUAGAGAGAAAAAGCUUCCCAUUGUGAGUUCAGCCAGCUGCAGGCAUGGCCUUUUGAUCUCAGGUUCCCCCAAACUGCCUUUCCCAGGUUCAGGCCAAUUUGGUGUACAAGGAAGGGUCCAAGAAUCUCAAAGGAACCAAAUCCCAAGCUCCGGGCAGCAUGUAGGAGUCUGAAUUGGCCCUAUCACCAGGACCCUGGGGGGCAUGAAGACCCAGAAAGCUGAGGCAUGAAGCACUCACCCUUGCAGGAGGAAGGUCCACAGAAGCAGCAGGGUGGAGACACAAUUGGUAAUGAUCCACAUCAUUAGGUAGGUUUGAGGGGGCUGUGGGAAUAGGAAAAGGCUCCUGUCGGUGGCCAGAGUCCCAAAGGUAGCAUAUGGAGGGAAAUGUGUAAGGAAUAGAGGAACAGGGUUAAGGAGAGCCAGGGAUGGGAGAAAGGGAGGGGUGACAGCCCCAGAGCCCUUACGAUAAGCCAGACGGGGUAACGCAUUUGCUGUAGCAGCUGGCAGUCGUUGGUGGUGACCGAGUCCACCCCUGCACACCAGAGCAGGGAAAAGAGCCAGGGCUUGUUCACCACAAAUAGGUUCACCGA